CGGGGCGUGGCGCAGCUUGGUUUAGCGCGCUUGCUUUGGGAGCAAGAGGUCGUCGGUUCAAGUCCGACCGCCCCGACCA
rnacentral:tRNA from 1 species